AGCGAACGCUGGCGGCAGGCCUAACACAUGCAAGUCGAACGAACCUUUCGGGGUUAGUGGCGGACGGGUGAGUAACACGUGGGAACGUGCCCUUAGGUUCGGAAUAACUCAGGGAAACUUGUGCUAAUACCGAAUGGGCCCUUCGGGGGAAAGAGUUAUCGCCUCUUGAGCGGCCCGCGUCUGGUUAGCUAGUUGGUUGAGGUAAUGGCACAUCAAAGCGUCGUGCAGUAGCUGGGCUGGGAGGAUGCUCAGCCACAUUGGAGAUGAGACACGGCCCAAACUCCUACGGGAGGCAGCAGUGGGGAAUAUUACGCAAUGGGCGAAAGCCUGACGCAGCCAUGCCGCGUGAAUGAUGAAGGUCUUAGGAUUGUAAAAUUCUUUCACCGGAGACGAUAAUGACGGUACCCGGAGAAGAAGCCCCGGCUAACUUCGUG
rnacentral:rRNA from 1 species